GCAAAUUCAAUGGUAAUAUUUCAUCUCAUGAAAGUUAUAACAAUGAGCCCGUAGUAGUAUAAAGUUUUGGACACAUUAAGGGCAAUCAUAAAUUCUUCAAAGUUCAGGCAAGAUAACGGUACAGUUUUCUAUCUUCUUUGUCCCUCUCCAAAAACUCCCUCUCAAUAAGAGAUUCAAUUCGUUUUUUAAUCACAACAGGGUUGGGAAGGAACCUUGACUGCAGCUGCUUCGUGACUUCAGUGACUAUGUUAUUGUGAUCCAAUACCCGCCUCGCCUUCAUUAUUCUGACUAUUGCUGCCUCAAUCUGUGGUUUCCGGUCCUCCUCUACCCUCUGUCGCGUUUCCUGGUUUUCUGGCUCG
rnacentral:misc_RNA from 1 species